rnacentral:rRNA from 1 species
UAUGUGAUCGUCUCUCGCAUAUCAAUAAGCGGAGGAAAAGAAACUAACAAGGAUUCCCCUAGCUAACGGCGAGUGAAGCGGGAAGAGCUCAAAUUUGAAAUCUUAAAGGGUUUCCCUUUACGAAUUGUAGUUUAAAGAAGUGUUUUCUGUUGAGGUUUUGGUAAAGGUUCUUUGGAAUAGGACAUCAUAGAGGGUGAGAAUCCCGUAUUUGACCUUUACUUUCAACUUUGUGAUACACUUUCAAAGAGUCGGAUUGUUUGGGAAUGCAGUCCAAAAUGGGUGGUAAAUUUCAUCUAAAGCUAAAUAUUGGCGAGAGACCGAUAGCGAACAAGUACCGUGAGGGAAAGAUGAAAAGAACUUUGAAAAGAGAGUUAAACAGUACGUGAAAUUGUCAAAAGGGAAGCGUUUGACACCAGUGUUGUUUUUCUGAAAAUCAAUUAAAGAACUGUUUAUGCUAAGCUGUUUAGACUUUAUCAGCUAACUGUUUAGUUUUGAGCUUUUCUUUAAUGCACUUUUCAGUUAACAAGUCAACAUCAAUUUCUUUUGCUGUAAAAAAGCUUGAGGAAGGUGGCUUGAGAUUCGUCUUAAGUGUUUAUAGCCUCUUGCCUAUGCAGUCGGAGAGAUUGAGGUCUGCAGCGUAGAUCCUUCGGGGCUAAAUGCAUUUGUGCUAAGUUAUAGCAUUUUAUAGACAACUUGUUGACUAUGAUUUGUCUUGUAGCUCACUCGCUUAUGUUAUUUUACCUACGCUUAGGAUGUUGAGUAGCGACAUACGCAC